rnacentral:rRNA from 1 species
UACGUAGGGUGCGAGCGUUGUCCGGAAUUAUUGGGCGUAAAGAGCUUGUAGGCGGUUUGUCGCGUCUGCUGUGAAAAUCCGGGGCUCAACCCCGGACUUGCAGUGGGUACGGGCAGACUAGAGUGUGGUAGGGGAGAAUGGAAUUCCCGGUGUAGCGGUGAAAUGCGUUGAUAUCGAUAGGAACUCCGGUGGCGAAGGCGGCAUACUGGACCACCACUGACGCUGAUGCGCGAAAGCCAGGGGAGCAAACGGG